UAGUUAGCUGCAUGAAUUUUGCACACUUAAGCCGAAAUUCCCCUCCAUUUUGUGACUUCAUGACAGACUACACCUUUUUUCAAUUACGAACUUUUAUUUUAAAAUUGUCUUUUACUAGCCUGACUUUACAGUUUGCUUUUGCUUUGCAGUUGCCUUUCCAGAAAAGUUUGGUCGCCUUAUAUUAUUAUAUGUCCAGUCCAGAUUUUCAUAGUUUUUGCAACUCCUGGUUGAAAUUUAUUUUACAGCAAUACGUUGAUUAUCUGGCACUUGGUGGCGGAGACCCACUCCAGUCAUGGCCCUUGCCCGAUGGUAAAAAUUGCCUUUUAAAGAUAUCGUCACAAUUGGAACAUGAAUGAGUCCUGAGAUAUCAAACAAAUGGAGACUGCGAUUUGAACCAGCGAUGAGCAAAACCACUGCAUCCGGAAGAUAGAUAGCAUCAGUGACCCAGCAGCUUAUGGAUAUUUUUUGCACUUCCUCAUUACCCUCCUUCGCCAGCGCAACAGUGUACGAGUCGAGGAGUUGCAAAUUUUUAUUGUAAAUUCCCACUCGGCCAUAUUACAGAUGAUAAUGUAACAGAAUGAUAGCUCUGUCUCCACUGGGAUUAUCUUAAUAAUCGUUUCUCUCUGUAUAUCAUAAAUCUUCAAUACAGUAGAUUCAAUUGUACAUAGGUAUCUCAUUUGAGGCACUUACAUUUAACUUAACAUGGACAAAAAACAUUUUGAAUUAAUUUUUGUGUGUUGAAGAAUUACUGGAAAGAGGAUCGAAGACUGCCUACUUGAUUUAUUUAUAUUCAGACAGUUUUACUCAAUCAGAUUAUAACUGUGCCAUUAUUUCAUAAUUGAGUUUACAACCAAGUGCUUUCAACAGUGAACUUUACUGCAAAUCUGCAUGGAAAUGAGUCUUCCGAUAACUAGUUGAAACCAGCUGCACAGUGUGUGAUAUAAUUUCCUGGGAGAGAUUAAAAUUUACGAGAAUGUAAUUAAAGGGUAUUUAGAUGAACCUUCAGUGUCAAGUUUAAUGCAAAUAAACCACAUUUUUGUUUUAAUAGAUUUUUAGGGCAUGAACCUCUUUUAUAACGCAGUAACUUUUAUCUCAGAAUACUCACUUGCUUGUACUUAAGUUGCUCUUUUAAGCCCAAUUCAUAAGGUUCAAUUUUUCAUCCUCCAACACGACCAACAAUUUUCAUCCGAUGAAGUUAGAAGGAAAGUUCAACGAAAAGUAGAACCAUGUGUAAUGGGCUUUAACUUGAUUGUUCAUCUAUUGGAUGGACAAACAGUUUAAGACGGAUUCGAUGGAUGUCAUCAGAUAUUUCAUCUUUGAGUUUUGCGUCUCUUAUACAAAACACAACAAAAUGAUCGAACUCAAAACAACCAGUUGCCAAGUUUGAAGAGAGAGUGUAUGAGCUGUAUUUCCUGAAAAUUCAGCCUGUCGGUCCAAGUUUACCUGUUAACUUAAGUGAGGCCAAAUAUUUUCAAGAAAUUUCUUGUAUGAUGACUCGUUUGAUUCACUAACCUUGCUAUGCUCUGCAGACAAAAUUGUUACACUUUCCUCAUCAAUGUGUUUCAAAAUUGCUUUACUUUUAUCCCAAUCCUCUAUCAUAGCGUCCAAUAUUUGCACCCACCAUAUCAGAUUACUUUGCGAUUCAUCGUUGUUUUUGGAUAAGUUGUCAAACAAAUUUGCAGCCGCUGUUGCAUAGACGCAACUUCCUGCAGAUCAACAAACUUAAGCAGUUUUCGCUUUUGGAAGAAUGAGAUUGAAAAUGUUUUUUAGCCAGACUAUUUUCAACAUAAAUUUUUUAGGCUUUGGUUUGCAGUAAUUAGGAUGGAAUUAAAGUAAGAAGUUCACCUAUUUCUGUAAUUCAAAAAUUGUCAGUGCUAUGAGUAAUUUCAAACCAGUGUUCAAGCAUUUCUAAUCUCAGCUCAACUUUCUGAAGAGCUAUAAUUUUUUUAAGGUUGGCAAAAGCAUUGCAGAGGAAUGGUAGAUUUACCAAAUGCCCCUCUCCACCAAACAUGCCCACUUUUCAAGCAUAGUGAAACUUCUCACUAUCAGUGAGUUUAAGUCUUUUGAAAGUACCUUGAAAAGGACUCUACCACACUGAUUGUGUUCGAUUCCACAGUGUCUGAAAAGUAAGCGCCUUUUAAAGAGAGCUAGAUUUGGUAAAUUCUCAAUGCAUCCGGGACACUCUCGCAAAAUGUAGAAAAUGAUUGUUAAUGACAAAACAGAGAGAUACCUCAGUGAAAACUGCAUUUUUAUAUAUGACAGCCAAAAUGAAACUUUUGUAAACAGAGAGUAUACCUGCUACAAGACUACUUAGUUUGUUGUUACUUUUGGCUUUUGGCAUCGACAGCUUUUGAGUCAUAAAACAAGAAACCUUCCUUCCAAAUCUACCCUUGUAUGAUCAUGCUAGGGAGCAACACACACAUUUUUCAGAAGAAAAAUCUCCUAAUUCAGAGGGGCUUUUCUUCAUAUUCGGUCUCCACAUGUCUAUGAGCAUCGGAGCCACUUACCAAGUGAUGAAUUCUUAGAAAAUGAGAUGAUGUUUUUACUCAUCGUCAUCAUAAUUAAUAAAACCAACAAUAAAUUAAACAAUAAAAUUGCAAUUUUAAGGUGAAUGAAAGUACCUCUUUCAAACCCCUCCUCAUCAACAUGCAUUUUUUUUUUUAGGAAAACUAAGAACAUUUUUUCAAUACUAUCUGUACGUAUAUUUAUGUAUUUCAAGUACCAUGAGAGCUGUCUCAAAAUGUCACUCGCUAGCACAGAAACACAUAAUGUUACUCACUUAAUUUAUCAAGAAAAAUGUAUUUUAUAAUAAUUAAAAAUCUGUUUUGUUGAGUGCGUGCAUAGAUGACAGUUCAUUAACAGUUUUAAAGUUCAUUCAUCUCUGUUUCUGUGCAGCAUUUUCCUCUCGUUAGCUAUGAAAACUUUUGCCAAAUCGUCAGUUUCAUUCCCACUUGCAUCUUUUCUUUUCAUCUUUCAUACUUUUGUAUCCAAUAUAAAAAAAAUCAAUGGAUAUAAAUACCAAUUAUUGUAUUAAUUGCGCUCACAAAUUCUUCCUUAUUCAAGGGUAUACCACAGUAUGAUGAUUCCUGUUGCAUUAUACUGUAACGAUACUUCUUUUCUCCAUUUAAUCCAGCCCGUUCAUGAGGAAAGAAAAACAAUUUCAGUUGCAGAAGAUCAUCUGAAUCUAAUCGGUUCAGGAGGCUACUGCCACUAACGGAGUAUACAUUAUCUUGUGGGGAGUAAUCAAAACUGUAUGAAAAAUAACAGAGAGUAGAAAUGGUUAUAAAAUCAUGUCGAUGGAAGUAAAUUUUUUUUAUCUGCCCAAUGAUAUUAUCCAAACAAAAGGGAAUAUAUUCUUGCAAAAUUUUGUCUUCAGAUUUGUAAGCAAAUCUCAUUUCAUUCAUAAUUUUUUUUUCUCCACCCAUACAAGAGUUAAUCAGUAUUCUGUAAAUUUUCAAUGCAAAACUAUUGGCAUCUUCAGAAUUAAAGUACGAUCGGUCUUUUAUAGAACACAUACUAUUGUACUCAUCAAAUUUGAGCAGCUUCAAGUUGAGGAGAUACCUCCCUGGAAUUGGGAUUUAAAAUUGUUUUAUGUCAAAUCCUAUUACAAUGGCAAGGAUGAAGUUCUCUAAAAUUCACUUCCACCCCUAAUUCUAUCUCUAUAGGUAUUUACAAGUAUAUCUCCGUUACCUCAAACUUGUCAGUGCAGAACUUUCACUCAUUUUUCACGACCCUCAGAUCACUUGUUCUCAUCUGGAAAAGAAUAAAAUAACUUUGGUUAAAGGCCUCCUAACUUAGGUACAACUUAGUUAGGGUCGAAACUUCAAACCGUUUUACUACAUCAAUUUUUGAGUUUCCGUUGUACCCAAUGUUUUAAUAAUUUGCCUAUCACCCAGAUCCGUGAACGUCAAGAAAAUGAGCCGUGCUUAUUCAACAAGAAGGUUCCUUUGAUCCAGCAAUGGCAAUUUCAUUAGCAAAGUUGUACACUAUCAAGUUAUGGGCUGAGAGGGCAUUGAGAAGCACAUUCAUUUGGUGCAGCUGAAAUAUAUUUAAAGAAAGCCAUAAAAAUCUUUCUUAUCAUUGCUGUUAUUACAAGAAGAGCGAGUUUUAUAAUAUCACUCCUGCAGGGCCCUCAAAGAGAUGUUAGAGAAUCUUACCUAUGUGAAAUUUUAUCAUUAAUUAAGGUGCUCAAAAUUUCAAGUUUUGUGCAAUCUCUGUGGUGUACUUAAGUGUUACCCAAUGUUUGCACAACCUUGUGCACCGCUAAAAAAUUUUACAGGCGCUCAAGGCCAUCUGGUUCCUGCAGUCGAAUCGUGGGUGAAUUUGGUGAUAAGGAAGUCGGACCAAAACA
rnacentral:lncRNA from 1 species